AAAGUGCCAAACACCAAAAUAUAAAACCCUAAUCCAACGAAGGACAACAAUAUACAUUCAACCAAACACCAUAUUAUAGCGGCUGCAAAUCUAAUCUGCCGCUAGGGUUUUAUAACAAUUUUCCACUAUAAAACUAGCCUUUCUUCUCCUCUCUCUCCAUCCUAUUCAGUUUCAUUCCCACCUCUUCCUUUCUCAAGCCAUAGAAGAAAUCUAUCGCCGACUUAAUCGGGCUUACGUUUCUGUUUUUAAAAUUCGAUUUUUUAUGAGAUGAGGAUAAUGGAGCGGAGAUGAUUUAAUAUCAAAUGAUCCCGAUAUCUCCUUGCUACGUUCUUUCUGAUCAUAAUAUUUGUUGUGAAAUCUGAAGUAUUCUGGAGAAGAAGACGAAUCAAAAUAGAUGGGGCUUCUGGAUAUCGAAGAUGUCUUGUAUCUCCCCUCGUUGCAAAAGGAUCUAAAAUACUCAUCAUUUAGGUGAUAGGACUUCGUAUACUAUUCCAAUGUACUUACUUCAAAAUUGUCUAUUAUCAAAGUUAAAUAAUCACAUACAUUUACAACCCAA